GGAAAGUAGUGGGCGUGUCAAAGAUUGGGUGUGUCGAAAGGAAAGUAGUGGGCAUGUGGAAAGGAGUUGUUUAGGAGAGGCUCCAAGAUGGCAGCUUGAGCGCACGUGUCCUACCGAGCUCUGCAUACCAACUUUUGUAAGAUAGUGAGAAGUGUAUUAUUUUGAACUUCCAAAUUAAUACUUCGCUUGCUAAAAACACCAGGUUAUUGAUGAUUUAAGAUGAUAUUUUCCAAAAUGUCACAGCGCACUGACAGAAAGAGACAUUUUAUGGCUACCUCCUCAGCUAGCAAUGCUCCGCCAUCAUCCAAUGUCGUUACACAGGAGGCAAAUGCUUUGAUUGACAACUGCCACAACUAUACUGGUCUGACAGAUUCUAUGACACUUUCCGUGUCAGAGGAGGAUUUUCCUUCUUUGCCUAUAACCAGAAGCAAACCUCCAGCUUCCAAGAAAGGCAUGUUUGAACUGGGCCCAGAUGCCGCUGCCAAUAAUGAUGUUAUCGCCACUCUUUCCAGGCUCAUCAAUGCAAGGUACGAUGCCAUAGAAAAAAUGGUUGGCGACAACGCAAUGAAAAUCGAGGGCUUAAAAAAAAAACUGUUGACUUUGCAUGCAUGUAAGAACGUUAAGAAGAAGGUCGCCCACAUUGAAAAGCAUGUCGAAAGGAGGAGGGAAAGAUGGACUUGUGCCAAAGAAGAAUCGCGGAACUUGAAAGCUAUUCCAGACGGUGGAAUCUAAGACUGUAUGGAGUUCCCGAGUCAGAUGGGGAGAACGUGCAGCAAGAGACCAUCAAAGUCUGCCAAGCUAUCCUACCUGUGGAGAAGGCUAAGCUAACAGAUGUUGUUGACACUGUACAUCGCCUCGGCACGAGAAGGCAGGGUGACUCCAAGCCCAGAGGUGUCAUUCUCCAGUUCACAUCAUGGAUCUACAGGGAUGCCAUUUGGAAAGCAGCCAAGAAAUGUACUUUCCUAUGCGAUAACAAUCUACGGUUUGCUGAAUACCUCUCAAAAGCAGACAGAGAAAGGAGAGAGAAACUGUGGCCAGCUGUGGAAAAAGCAUGAAAAGAAGUGAAAGCGGCUUACUUCAUCGGAGGGCGCGCUUUCAUCAACUGAUCCAAAAUCAACCUUACUCCUUGAGAACUGUCAUAGGCUGUGCCUGUUGGUCAACAUAGGCUACCUAGAUAGCUACCUCUGAUGUGAGCAGAUCUCACUCCCGGCUCUAAGGCUGUGUCUGGCUCCAUCAUCUCCUGUGGGCUGAACACCUUCUGGCAGUGGGACAGGUGACACCAGCCGGACCUUUCCUGAACUCUAACUGCCGUUGGUGUUGCCAUGGUUACCUCGAAUGGCCCCAUCCAUCUUGGCUGGUUCCAUUUUCUCUUGUGGACCCGGAUUUUGACCCAGUCUCCAACCUCCACAGGCAGGUAGUCAGGGUCCUCACCUGGUACCUCCUCCUGAGCUUUCCUAGUGUGAGAGUGGAGAGAUCUGACAAUAGUAGUUAGCUCUUUCAUGUUCUACUUCAGCUAGAGUGAGGUCUAUUUGUCUGUCAGUCAUGGGUCUGUGUGCAGGAACAUUCAUGGGUCUUCCUGUGAACAUUUAAUGUGGUGUGCACCCCAGGCCUUUAUUAACACUACUUCACAUUUUCAUUAACACCAGUGGUAAACAAUCCACCCAAGAUUUAUUGGUGGAGUGGCAUGCCGAAGCUAACCCUUGUUUAAUGGAUUGGUUAGCUCUCUUUGUAACCCCAUUACUCUGGGGGUGGUAGAUGGACACAAACUUCUGGUCCACACCCAUCAUUAUGGCUACCUGCUUCACUACAUCACCAGUGAAGUGGGUACCGUUGUCUGCAGAUAAUACCUAGAUUUGGUGUUCCUGAGAUUUUAUCUCCCUCACUAGUAGCUUUGCUACUGUCUUAGCAUCACAGUGUGUGGUGGGAAAUGCCUCCACCCACCUAGGUGAACCUGUCAAUAAAGACUAAACAGUACCUUUUCCUUUCUUUUCUUUCUGCAAGAUCUAUAAAAUCCAUGGCAAGAUGGACAAAUGGUCCUCUUAGCGUAGGGAAAUGACCUGGUUUC
rnacentral:lncRNA from 1 species